rnacentral:rRNA from 1 species
GACGAACGCUGGCGGCGUGCUUAACACAUGCAAGUCGAACGGUGAUGCCCCAGCUUGCUGGAGUGGAUCAGUGGCGAACGGGUGAGUAACACGUGAGCAACCUGCCCCAGACUCUGGAAUAAGCUCUGGAAACGGCGUCUAAUACUGGAUACGAAACUGGCCCGCAUGGGCAUGGUUUGGAAAGUUUGUCGGUUUGGGAUGGGCUCGCGGCCUAUCAGCUUGUUGGUGAGGUAAUGGCUCACCAAGGCGACGACGGGUAGCCGGCCUGAGAGGGCGACCGGCCACACUGGGACUGAGACACGGCCCAGACUCCUACGGGAGGCAGCAGUGGGGAAUAUUGCACAAUGGGCGGAAGCCUGAUGCAGCAACGCCGCGUGAGGGAUGACGGCCUUCGGGUUGUAAACCUCUUUCAGCAGGGAAGAAGCGAGAGUGACGGUACCUGCAGAAGAAGCACCGGCUAACUACGUG